UGCCUGGUUCCAGGCUCUUGCUGAUGAGUUCAGCUUUGGAAUGUGAUUCUUCAGCUCCAACUCAGACACACUAGGGAGCUUGUGUUAGAAAUGGGCCACCUGCCACGGUGAGGCACAAUGCAGAUGUCAUCAGAGGGUUGCAGGUGUGGACUAUCCAAGUUGCACACCCAAGGCCAAGUUACCACUGAAACUCUGCCACCUGCUGGUCAAGCCUUCAUUUCCUCAGAACCCAGUCCAUUUCCAAGGAUUCACAAAGUGCCCUCUCCAAAUGGUACCAGCCUUCCUCAUCCCUCACCAGAUUGGCCUUUGGCCUGUAAACAUCACCGCAUUUCAUUGUGGGGGCGGUUGGCCCAGUGUACUAUGGAGGCCCAGAGAAGUGAUGUCUGCCAGUGGGGUGAGUCCAGGGUGGGACCCUGGAAGACAUGACUGGAUUUUGUGAGCUGAGCCUGGAAGAAUGGGUAUUGGCAAGAUGAUUCUUCACAUUUAUAGAACAUUUCCAAAACAGCAUGAGAAACAAAGCCCACAUGGUUGCCACUGAAGACUGUCGACAGCCUUCACCACUGAGCACACAGCUGCGUGAUGGAGCCACCGAAGCUCCCAGAACCACCCGGAGCAACCGCCCAGGCUCCUGGGAAAUGGCUUAGGCAGAGCCACACCUCUGGGGACCUUCAUUAUCCUGGGAGACCCUCGCCUGGUGAGAAAAGGCAGCUUCCAAGCUCCAUCCAAAGGGCACGCAGGGGAUAGCGUGAACCGCAAUUAACGCAAAGCCAUCUCAGGAGAAAAAAUGCAGGUGUAUUAGAAAAUAUAUUUUGGUUGCAUGAUAUUCUAGCUCCCAUUGAACCUCAGAGGAUGCUCUUGCCAAUCCUAGACCUGAUGUAAGAGCAUGAAAAUCCCACUCAGCGUCUGAGGUUUAGACUUCUUAAUAAAAGUCACUUAUCUUGACCCCCCAGUUAACAGACCACAGGUAUUUGGAAGAUUGUGCAAGGAGGGCCUGCCGGAAAAUCCCAUGCACAUUUGGAGCAGAAUCAGCUGGUGUGAGGGAAACCAAAGACCUGUCUAGACAUGGUACCCUUAGGUUUUGCAGCGGGUCAAGUAUUACUGAAAUCGUUCAAUCCUUUCAUGGAGAUCAUGAGAAUUAACUUUGCCCUGGCACCACAUGGGAUCCGGAGGUUGUGUUGUGCUAUUCUUGUUUUGUCUUGUUUGGGCUGUAUGUUAUGGUUCUGCAGAGAAACAGAAUCAAGAGGAGAUAGAUAGAGAUAAAGACAUAGAGAUAGAGAUGCAGACAGAGAUAUCUGUAUUUGUGCCUCUUUCUCUAUGUGCAGCUUUAGCUAGCUAGCUAGCCAGCUAGCUAUCAUUUAUCUAUCUAUCUAUCUAUCUAUCUAUCAUCUAUCCAACUAUCACAUAUCUUUUCUUCUAUUUAUAUCUAUCUACCUAUCUUCAUAUCAUCUAUCCAUGCAUUCACCCCUCCAUUCAUCCAUCCAUCCAUCCACCCACGCAUCCUUUCAUCCAUCCAUCUCUCUCGCUCUAUCAUCUAUUUAUCAUCUAUCAAUCAUCUAUCUAUCAUCUCUCAUCUAUCUAUGUAUCUAUCAAUCAUCUUUCUAUCAUCUAUCUAUCUAUCUAUCUAUUUAUCUCUACCUAUCUUAGAGACAGAGAUUGGUUUAUUUUAGGGAAUUGGCUCAUGUGAUUUGGGGGCUGGCAAGUCCAGAAUCUGUAGGGCAGGCCAGCAGGCUGGGAAUGGGGAUUCUAGUAGUUCCCACCCAUAGGAGCUUUUAGGGUUCCAAUGUAGUCCUUUGAGAACAAUGCUUGGCACAUGGGAGGUACCCAGCAAAUAGUAGCUGUUGUCCCAGCCACAUUUCUUAGUUGCAGAGAUCAGAAUCCAGUCUGGUUGAUUUGAGCAAAAAGGAAACAUGACUUACAGUUCAUGCCCAACCAUUAUGAAAAAGAAAUGUGGUGAUUACUUUCCUAGGAAUUACUGGGAUAAUUGAGGCCAUUUCAGACAAGAGAGUCUUGGGAACACAGGCCAUAUUAAAGCGAAUGAACCAGCCCUGGGAGGGGUUGGAGGACUGAGUUUCAUAGUUCACAGGCAGGAAUGAUGGUACUGGGUACCAUGUAGUAAACAGAAACACCCAAACGUCAUGAGACCUUUGAGUGGAAGCAAUUCAGCUCCCAUCCCACUUUGCAGCCCCUAUGAUGCCAAGACUGGACCCUGGACUCUCUCCCAGCAUCCCCAGAAGAACCAGAUGCCAACCCCAUUGUGCUGACUGGAAGAUGUGCUCCUCUGCUGUGAUCAAUGCCUGUCAAAGCUCAUCUCUGGGCCUUGAGUGAUGACCAUAGGUCUACCUGGGAGAAUCUGCAUCAGGUGAGAUUCCCAGAUGUCAAGUAUUCUGGAACAUGGAGCAUUGAAUUUCCGUGCUCUCUUGUCCUGGCAGGCAAGUUGCUGACAGCAGGUGGUGGGACUUCUAAGCUUCUAUAAUCACAUGAGCCAAUUCCUCAUAACAGAUCUUUUAUCUAUAUAUAGAGAGAGAGAGAAAGAGAGAGAGAGAGAGAGAAAGAGAGGGAGAGAGAGAGGGGGGGAGGGAGAGGGAGAGAGAGUUAUUAGUUCUGUUUCUCUGGAGAACCAAAACAAAAAACCUUAAGAUACAAUGCAUAAACUGCCUCCUCUCUUUGACACUGGGUGACAGCUUUUUCUGCAGAACCCUCCUGUAGGAUUCCACAGACAUCGUCUCCUUACGCUUUGUCAGUGAGGGUUUUCCACAUUUGGGAACACCUCCUCUCUAACACCCAUGCCACCCUUGACAGGCCCCAGGUGUGGCCAGCGAUGGGUGCGGUCGUAGAGACUUCCAAUUUUUCCUCUAACUAGCACCAAACAGCCCUGCUCUUAACAGCUUUCUUUGGUCUGAGUCAUCUCCUUUUGGAAGAUACAGUCCAUUACUUUUCCUUCUGCAAGCAGCCAGAAUAUGUCUUCUCUCUGCCAAGCUCACACAAACUGAGAUAAUCAUAAUUGCUAAAUGGAUUACCAUAAAUGCCAAUUUUGCAAGAAUAUAAACCCAACAGCAGCUCUUAACCCAACACGCAUUCGAAAAGACAGCAACUUGUUUGGUUGAGCAGAGCAUUACAAUGGUGACAUAUGGGCAAGCAUAGCAUAGAUGUGAAACUCCGAGAAGUUAGCCAGAACCAUGUGGUGUAACCAUGCGAACAGCAACGGUUUUGAAGAACACAAAAGAUGGCAAAAGAAGUCCAUUCAGGAUGGCAAUUUUGGCUUCUUGGUUCAUAGACGAGGGGGAAAUUACCAGGAAGCGUCAAGCUUACCUCACCUCCUGAUCUAAGCAGGUUGCACACUUGCAAACUGUUGUUCUGUGCUACAAUAGAAUGGGUCCUCCUUCCAGAGUGCCCUCCUUGGUGAAUGCAGCCAUUGGUAGUGGCUCUGGGUAUGACAGGGGAAAGAAUUACUGGUUUCCUCUAGCCCCUGGAGUAUCCUACUAAUAUUCCAAUCACAAGAUACAUUUUUUCUUAAUUGCAACUUUCCACUCCGGAACAUGCCAUCAGGGGCAGAGAAAAGGAACAGCUUCAGGUAAGAGUCAUCAACACCAUAGCCGACUGGACAGUUGGACAUCCUCUUGUCAACAAGGGAUGUCCUAGGGCUGGUUUCCAAGGCUGGGACGGAAGUGCAAAUGCUAACAUGGCUACAGAAGUUGAGUGAAUUGUGGAAAAAAGAUGAGUUUGUGUAAAUAUGCAUAGGUUCCUCUUUCUCAUUCCUUAUGUGUAUUGCGUAUAUUGCUUAAGAAUAUGCACAAGAAAUAAGAUAUAAUUAAAGAAUUGGAUGCAAUUGUGCCAUGCCUGGGAUUAGCUUCAAGGUAAGUCUGGGGGUCAUAGGAGGGGAGGGGGUAUGGAUAUAGAUUAAGCAGGAUUGUUCAUGGGUUGGUAAUUAUUCAACGUAAUGGACAUGUGUAGGAUCCAACAUAAUAUUCUCCUUACUUUUGCAGAUGUGUGCAAUCCUCCAGAAAAAUGGAAAAAUUUAAUCUAAUCACAGCAAAGACUUUAGAAGGCAGAGUAUUUAAAAAUUUACUCUUCCCUCAUUGCCUUCACCUGAAAUCUCUUAAUAUAAAUAUAUUGUUAUCAAUCAAAACAAGAUUUUUAAAAAUAAUUUAGUUAUGAGCUUCCUGGCAGCCAAAGGAAAAAGUGAGACAUCUGUUAGAUGAAUAAUGCAUUUCCCAGCAGUUCUCCUUGGGGAGUAAAGCUGUUCCAGUCAUAUCUCUGAGUCAUCAAUACCAAAUGUGUCUUCAAUAAUAUCUCUACAGUGAAGACAGUAAUGCAAUUAGUAAAUGCACUCUGCUAUAAAUAUUUUCACUUUAACAUCCAGUGCAUAAUAACAAAGUGUUGCUGAGUGGUAGCAAUUCAGUGGAGAAUUGCAACAGAAGUGGUCUAAGUACUCAACUUUUGGAUGGUCCAGGGUGCGCUGAAAAUACACCAAUGGUCCUUCAAACCAUCCUCCUCAAAUAUCAUCUCUCUCAGUGGUUGCUUGACCCAAAUGAAUGACAAUUUAAGGUCAUAUCAUCUGGCAAAGGCAUAGAAAACCCACGUUUUCUGUAGCUGAAUAAGGGCAGAUGUAUAAACCCUAAUGACCUACCAGGGGAACCGUGUGAUUGUAAAUUAUAGCCCUAACAUGGGGGCUCAUGGCAGAAUGGGUGCUAAACUUCCCUCAGUAUAGCUAAUAUAUUCCCCUUCAAUGAAAGUUCUUUCUCUCAAUCUCUCUCUUUCUCUCUCAUACACACACACACACACACACACACACACACACACACACAACACAUGACAAGUCUUCAACCUUCUGCACCCUUGGGUAUCGCUUAGAUCAUUUCAGCCAAGGAAAUGUUUCAAAUUCAGUCUUAGAAGUCACUGGCCCCAGCCACAGAAAUAUUUCCAUCACUCUCCCCCCAAAAUUCUGGAUUUGGGUGAUAGAUAGAUAGAUAGAUAGAUAUAGAUAGAUGAAAGAUUGAUAGAUUUGACAGACAAGAGAUAGAUACGAAAGAUAAAUAGAUAGAUGAAAGAUAGAGUUCAUAUACCAAAUCUGUAUUCCAUAAUAUGAAUUUAUCUGUAUACACCCCUACAAGUUGAGCUUCUCAUGUAGAGUAACCCAACAAUUAACUGUUAGCAACAUAUAUUGAGCUACCAUCUCAAUUUGUAUAUUUUAGAGUCAUAUAUCAAAUUUUAAAAACCUAAUCCUGUUAAAAUUCUCAAUUUACUAGAUACUCAGUUAAACAGAACCGACAACCCUCUAGUAAUGAAUGUUUGAAAGGCACCUGCAGCCCCUCUGAAGGAAGACACUUCACUCUGUUCCCCUUGGUCUCUCAUUUGCCCAGAGCACAUGAGCAGGUUCCUCUGGCUUUCUCAUAGAGGGAAACAUAUCUAGGUUGUUAAUCAAUGGAUUCUAGCUUUAUACACCUAAAGGAUCUGGAGAUCCAAUGCGUUUGGGAAAUUAUCGUCAAGGCUGACCUCACUCAACUUUGCCAUCUUGGGCGGAGGCUGGAGUUCGGUACCAGUUUAGCUCAAAUAGAUUUGCCAAAUGGAUGAAAGACUCUGUACUUUAGACAAACCGGGAAGCAGUGCCCUAAACAUGAAGACUGAGUAUUUGUUUCCAGUUUCUGCUGGUGACUCACCUCAACCUGUCCGUCUUUAUAGUCGUCCAGUUCUGAGGCAGGGCCCGGGGAGGGUGGGAGUCGGGAAAGACAAGCUUUGCCUGGGCAAUCAGGAUUCUGGAUUCAGGGGGACUGGAAACGUCAACCUUGUCGCUCUACCCUCAGUUUGCAUUAGAAAAGCUUCAGCUUCUGCCGUGGACCUUCACUCUCCCCUUUCAAGAUUCGAAUAGAUGAAUUUUCAGGCAAGGCUGAGCUCAGACAAAGGCAGCCUGCAAAGACCCUUUCUCCAGAAUCUGGUCACAUUCCCAGAUUCUAGAGAUGGAGAUCUGAUAUCUUUAGAGGAAUAAGUUGUCACAGUUUGAAAGGGUUAUAUUUUUUUAUAAUGACCAGUCCCAUCACUCUCUGGGAAAGAGUGGGAUGGUGGAUGGAUUGCAACCAUCAUUUUAAUGCGGUUUCCCUUCUGGAAGGGAAGUCAGUGGUGUCAGAACUGAAACGGACCCUGGCAAUCUUCGUCUUAGAAUUUAUAGAUAUCUCAGAGAGGUCCCACGAGAGGUUAGAGGGACCAAUCGGGGCCAGACUCCAGGCAGCAUUUUCCCCACUUAUGUUGCCUCUCCAAGAGAAAAUUAAGUUAUCUUUUACAGCAGCCAAUUUCCCUCAAUUAACCUCAGCUCUGGCAAAUCCAUUCUCUUCCAUUUCCUUUCUGCUCUUCUCUCUCCUGCAAGACAGAAUGAGCCUUUACAACAUGUGAAUUGUGACUUUCUGGCCAGCUCAUGUCCUCAGAUGGGCUGCGCCUGGACAGACCUCGAACGUUGAGUCAGGAGUGGACGCUGCUCAAGAGGGAAGGGAGACCUGAACAAGCUGAUGGGUCCAAAGUUUUCAUGUGUCAGAGAAAGUAGGCAAAUAUCAACUCUCUGAGUAAGAAGAGAAUAUUUCAUGGCUAUUGGAACAUGGGGAAAGAGACACCUUUGACAUAACUAGCAUCUCGCAAACUAGAUACUCUACUCUUACUAAAGUAAGAAAUAUGAAUAAACACUAGAAAAUUCCAACAAAACUCAAGGGGAUAAACUCUUUUUUUUUCUUUUUAACUUUUCACAUCUGGAGCUUCCAGUUCUGUCAAUUUAGUGUUUUUUAAAAACAAUGGCUACAUAUUCAGCCUCUCCAUAUGAAAUCAAGAUGCUGCUAUUAAACACUACAUGUUUCUUGUUCAUGGGCUGACAAAAUAGGUUAUAUUAUAGAGGAUGGGACAUUUGAUAUAAAUGGUAUAGAAUCUCUUUUUAUUAACUUUCUCAUAUUUUUUAUGUCUCCAGAUAAUUUUUCCGAUGACAUGGGUCAUUAUUUUUUAAUAAUAAAGAAAGUUUAGCUUACACCCUUAGGUCUCUCAUAAACUCUUCUGGUGUUGAGAAAGAAACUUUCCAUCGUUAAUGGAAAGCACAUGCUGAAGUUUAGAUGACAUCAGUCUGAUUCUUGUAGAAUGAUGGGACGUGGGGAGUUCUGUGCAGUUAAAACAAAAGGAGCCCUACAGCUUACGCAGCACCAUAAUUUACACCAAGGGGAACGAGGAGGAGAAGAUAAAAGACCAUUAAUGAGGAUCUCCUCUCAUCAUAUCAAGGGACAGGAGGCAAUGACUAGUAAGAAUGGAGUCAGCUUAUAGGGAUGGUGUUACGGCUAUGGAAUGUGAGCAGGAUCGCCCACAGCAGGCCAUGUCCAACUGAGACGCAGUGCUGGUAUCAUAUCUUCACGAGAAAUUGCAUCUCCAGAGAGAGCGUCCAGUCCUUCCUCCCAAACAAUGCUCUCCUCACUCUUUCCAGUCUUCCUGUCUGCCCUUUUAUUAGUCAUGUCUUGACCACAGACAUCUCCCAACCAGCCUGACACUCCUGUCCACCCACUCCUUUCUUGGGGUGAGGCAUCUUGCUGACAUUCUCUUUGGCUCUGUCUUCUCCUUUCUUCCACUAAUGUUACAUAAAUACCAGAUGUUGGAUGGUGCUAGACAUUUCUGAAAGGAAAAACAUGGCAGAUGUUCUCAGAUGUUCCUGUCUUCACUGAGAGAUUUUCUCUUGACCUCCUCCUUCCCUGAAGCUACUGUCCAUUCUGUCUUCUUGCUGUCACUCCAGACAUCUUCCCACGUGGACCAUUCGUUUUCUCCCCUUAUUCAGCUCCCAUAGAUUGCUCAGCCCAUCCCAUUGCUGUUCUGAUGCUGCCCUACAGAAACACCACAUGAUCUCAUUUCCAACUCAAGAACUCGUUUUCAAGAGCUCAUCUUGUUUGAGCUGCUCAUCCUUCUUUCUCCCCACAAAUCCUUCCUCCCUGAUCUCCAUAACUUCAUUCUCUUCUCUUCUUCCUACCUCUCCCACUGCCCUCCAGCAAUCAUUAUUUUUUGUAAGUUCUUCUCCUCUACACUCUUCCCAUACUUGUAAGGGUUUAGACUUGGCCAGCUCCUUUUUCUGUAAGUGUCCUCAUCUACUUUCGCCCCUUUGAAUAUCUUCCAGACACAAAGGAGUCCCACCUUUCUCUAGCCCAUCCCUAGUGAUCCUGAGUUACCAUUGAUCCACUGAAUCUCUCCAGUUGGAUGCCCCCGUGUAACUUAAACUCAUUAUGUCUAAGAAUCUAUGUAUUAUCCUCUCCCUCAAUCCCACUCUACUUCUUUUACAUGUCAGAUUUCAAUGGACCCUCCGUCAGUUCGCCCAAAUGAGAAACCACAGCCACACCUUCCGGUUUCCCCUCCCUCUCUCAUGUCCACAUCAGACUUGUCCCAAAGUCCCACCCAUUCCAGCAUCCUUUCUAAUUGGCUUCUUUCUCCUUAGUCUCACUGCUGUUUUCCUGGUUCAAGUCCUCAUCAUCUCCCUGAGGACCAUGGCAGAUGCUGACAACCCCACUCCCAUCCACCCUCUCCUUUGUCCUUUUUGUCAUAGAUGUCCCCAAGUAUCUGUUGACACAUGAUUAGGGUACCUUCUCCAGCCUCCCCUGCAGCUAGUGGUGGCAUGGCUAUUUGCCGCGUCCAAGAGCUAAGUGUGCUCUGCAAUCUCCAUCCUUAAAAUGUUUAUAGACAUUUUUGUGUGUGAACUAAAGAAAUGAGACUCUCCAAAGCCACACGAUGAAUGACAUGGAAUGUAAAUAUAUAUCACUGGUCACCACAAGCCAACACAGGAACUUCUUUUGGAAGUUUAAGAAGGAUGAGAAGAAAUCACUGGAGCCGCCGUGAGUGCAGGAGAAUAAUGCAAAAGAUAUUUGGAGAGAAAGAGAAGGAAAUAGGAUGAUAAAAUAGCAGGGACUACAUGCUGGCUGCUUCCAUGAGGCAGUGUUUUCUGAGGCUAAAGCACACAUGCCAGGAAAUAAAAAUAAAGAAAGAUAUUUUAGCUUAUCUACUUUUCUAAUAUGUAGCUGCUCAUUCACCCUAUUGGAUAUCUGGGCUUUUUUUCCCCACCCCAAAUUUAAAGCUUUAUAAAAUCCUAAACCUCAGUGUUGGAAGCAGCCCUAAAUCCAAGCAACUCUAAUUCUUUAGAGGAGAGUUCUUACCCAGGAUUAGGAACCAGAAUCGCAGGGAGAAUAUUAUCAAAAUUCAUGCACCCAACCCCACCCCAGACACUCUGGUUUAGCAGGUCUAGAGGCGAGGAGACCAUCUUAACUACCUAUUUUGAAAAAAAAAAAAAAUCCCAGAUAUUUCUGAUGCAUACCCUUCAAGAGUCACCAUUGCAGGGCAGAAGGGCGCCUUACAAAUAGUUAAAUUUCCCACUUAAUCAUGCCGAACAAUGAUGUGAAUGAGAAAAUGACACAUUUUGCAAACAACAGCCAAGAGAAAAAGAUCAUUUCCUUCUGUAGAUUCAUUAGCAAGUCGGGACAAUUUAACUCGUCUCCUGGCCAAUUCCUGCAGAAGCUGGAGCUGCGUAUCCUCAGCCGGCUGGAAACAGAUACAAGCCACAGUAUCUGUGGAUGGAUGGAAAUUACCCUGGCUAAUCGGUGGUAUGUAAAACAGGAUGUGAGAAUGUGUGGGUAAGCAGAGGGACGAAGCAUCAGGGGCCCUUGGCUUCUACUGAUCAUGGCACCUGUGGGUGAUUCACACCAAUGCUUGGAUGUUUUGGUGUUGGUAGAAAGCAGAAAAGUGAAAAAGAGAUUUACUACCAUCCAAGGCAGGAGGAAGGCAAGAAGGAGAGUUGCUGAUAAAAUAAAUACUGGAUGAACAACCACAGAGAAUCUGCCAAUGGCCGGGCCGAUGGUGGAAAGCACGAGGCAAGAUGGCUUAGAGCCCCUCCCCAGCCUGCCACUGAGAAGGGCACAAGGCUGGAAGGGUUGGCAGGCAUGGGUGGAAAGGUAUCAAAAACAAGUCAAUCAAAAGCAAACUCACCUCAUCUCUAAUUGGGUUCACCUCCUUUCCCAGCACAAAGCAGAGGCAGCAAGAGCCACUCGGGGCUUAAAUUCUUUCCAGACUUGCUCUUCUGUUGAAAAUGGUUUUACAACCUAAUAGGCAAUGGAGAAAUCCAGUUCAGUUUUUUCUCCUCCUUCUUAUACUCCUUCUCCUAACUUUUAUUCUUUUUUUAAGUAUUUCCUUGGGAGAGGCUGGAGACAUAAGCGUAAUUAGUGUAUUUAUUGAGAAUAGCUCAUUAUGGUGCCCAAAGCAGAAAAACAAAAUUCUCCAGAGAUCAGGGUUUACUCUUCAUGUUGAUGCUGGACAAUGAUGAGCCCAACUUGGGCAGCCUGGGGAAGUUAUUCUUUACAGGAUGCCUCCAUGAUUAUUUCUGAUGAAACACAAUAUCAGUCCAUACAUUGUGACAUCUUCUCCUCCCCUUUAAUUCCUUAAAUGCCACUAAAUCAAGGUAGUGACACAUACCGUGCUUUUAACAUGUAAGAUAAUGAGAGGUUAACAAGCAAAAACGAAAAGGAAGAGAAACAACCUUAAUUUGGAAACUGGACAUUAUAGCUCCUACAGUCCAUGGCCAUGGUCACCCAUGUGGAAAUUUUUAAAAAUUGUAAUAAAUAAUUGAAUAUGUGAGUUGACUACAGAAUAUUCGUUACUUAGAGAGUUAGUGAACCAACAGAUAAAACUGAGAAGAUGCUCCCAGGAUACAGUGUCUGAAAGAAAACUAAAAAGAUAUCCAGAAGAUGAUAAAAUUCCGGGACGAAUCCAGUGAGGGUCCCAUACAGAGAAGAGAAAGAAUGGCAGAGAGGGAGGGCUGAGAUUCAAACAACUAGCAGAUGAAAAUUUCCUCUGAACUGAAGAAACACCUAAAAGGUUAGCUUAAAACCAACCCAGGAGGUUCUAAGCACCCUUAAAUCCCGUAUUUCUCAUCCAUUUGAUCUCUAACUAUGAGCUUGUCAAGAAGGCUAGUAUAACCACAGGCAGCAUUAGCAGAAAGACAGCAUCUCAAUGGAAGGAUGACUUGUCACCUUAUGCUCUGAGCUGACCAGAAUUAGGGGAGCUCUACUUGCAAGUGCAUGAAACGUGUUGAGAUAUUGACAGCUUGGAGCAUGCCAUACUAAGAGUGGCCAUCUUGAUUAUGAAAUCCAAGUUAUGGUCCCUGAAGAAGUUGGGUGGAACUGAAGACCUUUCACCCAAGAAAUAAAUGACUCCAGAACCAGAUAGCAAGGACUUUCUUGCUACAAGGAGGUCCACCUUAAUCUGUGCUGCUCCUCAAGGCUGAGCUAGGACAAAAGGUAGACCUUACAACAUAAUCCAACCAUAAUCCAACCCACAUUAGAGCGCGUCACCAUCAGAACAUCAGCACAUCAGAAUCAUCAAAACAAAGUGGGCUGCCUUCGAGAUACGGGAUUCUGAAAAUUUUCCAACAGAGCGGGUCAACCCUUGCUUUGAUACUUUGAAACUCUGACUAUGUUUGGAGGGUGAGUUGGUAUCAGUUUGGAGGGAACUCUGAGUGACCAGCUAGGGAGCGCUAAGAUAUCUUGUACUUAAUGCAGAACCUUGGACCAGCUCAUACCCUGUCUGAUUUACAACUUAUUUUUAAAUAAUUUCUUUUACCAAAUUGAAUACUGUGCAAUAUUCCAUCCAAUACCUUGAAGGGAACAAAAACAUGCAAAUAUAUUUAGGUAGGCAGGAAAAAAAUUGUACCUUGGAAAGAUAAAUACCAAACCAGCACUUUAUGAGUAAUUCACCUAUUAGACAACUCGGCACAGCACCAAUGAAGUGGGACAGUAGGGAAAUUCUGAGAUAAUGUAAGUACAGUCCAUGCUUGGCUUCCAUGAUGUUGAGUUGCUCUGAAAGAAAGAAGAGGGUUUUGCUGAAAACACCCAGACAAUGACAGUUGCUCUGUGUUUACCAUCUUUGAUUUUGUUUGUUGAUAACAAAAAUGUUUACUUUCUCCAUGUGUCUUGUUAAUGCAGACCUUAGUUCCUAGAAACCUCAGAUCUAUAAAGGAAGAAGAUAGCUGUGGGGCAAUUCACCUGUGAAUUAAAAUCUUUUGCCUUAGCAAGCUUGAACCAGAAGAACUCAACAUACGCCUAUGGGGGGUGUGUUCUGCUCCUUCAGUGGUACUUCCCAUGGUUUGAUUUUGUUCUUACUCAAGUUGUUUGGGACUUGAGAAAGGUCAUCUCAAUUCUCGAAGGUUGGGGGAAAACCAAGUCUUCAUGUUCUCCGUACGUACAACGAGGGUGAAUAUUUCAAGCAUGUAGAUGCUUUUCUGCAAAUCAUCAGUCUUACAGCAUAUCUAGACUGAGAUGACAUUCACCAAAGUGGUGGGGUACCCAAGGUUGACAUUCCCCAAGCCAAUUUGUUAACUGUGCCCCUUUCUCCUGGCUAUUAUAUAGCAACUCACUCAUUGCAUCAUUAAAUAACACAUACCUGUGGUCAUAUAUGCACAUAUACAUAUUCUCUGGUCUGUGCAAGACCCAAACAUAGGCAUGUGGGUAGAGUAUGAUGCAAAGAAAAACGUGUUAUAAACCAUGAGAAGAAGACCAAGCAAACUCCAGAUCUCAGAAUCCCGUCUGCUCCUGGGCAGCCUGCCCUACAGAGAACGAUGUGCAGAUUUUCCUAGGCGAAAGAGUGUUCCAGACAGGCAGGGUUCUCCCACAUUCCAGCACUCUUUCCCUGUUAGGAAUUAACUCCACCUCACUUACACUUUAGCAGAAAAUGGGAUACCAUCAAGCACAUCAGAACUUAGGCUCAUCUUGGGUCUUCAUCGGACCACUACACUAGGGGGAAAAGGUCAGAAUUCAUGAGUGGGAUGGAUUCGUCUUUCUACGGCACGUGAUCCUUUGGAAACAGACAUUUUUAUAGGGAUGUAGAAAUCACAGGCAAAUGACUUCGGAGAGUCUAAACAUAGACCUGGAGGAAAUGUUUCAUUCACCAUUUCUUUUGAUACCUAUCGAGAUAAAGUUUCUUGGUUGUGGAGCAGAAGAUAAGAUGAUACCAGGAAUGAAAGGAAAGAGCACAUGUCAUUCAGAUGUUUUAAAGUACAUUAAGAAAUAGUGUCUAGAAUGAAGGCCGGGUUAAAGACUGGAUUCUGAGGAAAAAUACCCAAUGGUCCUCUCUCUCACCUUUCCUGUGUUCAAGCCCGUGGGGCAUCUUGGUUCUUAGUCUGUGGGCAAGGCUUUGUUGUUUUACAGUUGAAGUCUAAUACAUCUCAAAAUUCAUAUACCCGUGCUCCCCAAAAAAUGGAAUUUGGAGAUGAAAGAAAACAGAAGUAGAAAGUAUUGAGAUCCACGCAUUCGAUAGAGAGUGAAGGACCAAGAAGAACAAUUUGGGCAUGAAAAAGAGAAAGAAGAGAGUGGCAAAUGGCAUUUGCAAAAGGGCAAAUAAGCCCAAAGCUAGAAACAGCCUCCUGGAGAAGCCUCAGCAGGCCUCCUGUGUGUCUGCUCCACCUGCACUCUGUAAUCAGCCCUUUGAUAGCAUCUCAUCGUUUGGACCACCUGGGUGAGAUGUGCAUCGACCAGGCUCUGACAGCACCUCUCUUAAACUCAUUCAUCCCUGCAGUGAGCUGUGGCUUACGACACUAUCCAGGGCUAUGGUCAUUUUCAUCCCAGCCUCAUAACGCAUCAUCCUACAAAAAGGUCUAUGGGUCACGGUUCCCCAAAGAGAAACUUGGGAAAAGAAAAAAAGACUGAGAUAAAAAGCUUGCAAAAUUUUCCCCGUGGCUUCCACCUUUUAAUUUCGUGGAAGUUAGAGGGUGCAGGGAGAUCAUCAUCGCCGUUCGAAUACGCAAGAUCACUUUCCUUUAAUUCCAAGCAAAUUAGAAACCAGCAUUUGAAUGGAGGCUAGCAUCCAAAAUAUGCAGACACCUACAAGGGCAACCCUCGCCAAAAAACACAGCUCCACUCGCCUGCAAGUAAUAGCUGUAAUCUGCAGAGGUUUCCUUAAGGGGCUUGCUGAGUUUUUCACAGCUCAUUUCUUCACCCUCCACCAAAGGUGAAGGUCAGCCAUCAAAUAAUUAAUGUCACGAAGCAGAUGUGCUGGUGCAAACAUCUGUGGCAGUAACAGACCAGGAGCUCAUGCUCUUCACAGUGUGGAAACCGUGCUGAGCAAGGAUGUCUGCGAAGGAGGGCGCAUUUACAUUCUCACAUGUGUUGGGGAUGUGCUAAUAUUCUCACUUUCUCUGGGCUCAGUCUGCGUCCCCUGUGGAGGUUCCUCUGGGAAGAGAAGGAGGGUGUCUCUCCUUUUUCUCCCCUGCCCAACUUGCCCCCAACGCACACACACAGAUUUCUGACUUUGACAGGUUGGCUCACAUUCAUCUGUUCCCACUUUGACCAAAGGGAACAAUAAACUGACAAUUACAUGAUUGCAUCCUGGAUUCAACUACAGAAGGUUUGGUGUCCUCAAAUAAUUAUAGUCCUGCACUAGCAGCUUAACAUCGAGAGCAAAUAAACUAGAGACAUGUAAGGAGUAUGAAAUUGAAAUCACAACUAAGACGUUUAGAGAGUAGACAAUGCUUGAUGACAGCCAGACGUUUCUGCAAGACGCACCAGGUAGUUUUCCUUAAGAGAAUUAAUAGCAGAUGAACGUCAGGCUCAGAGAGAACGAAAGGAACAACAACAAAUCUGAAAACUACAGACAAUUUGGAAUAAGGAUCAGAAUCAGUGUGGUGGUUCCAAGAUGCUCAAGCAUUGAGGAACAAAUAGGCCUCCCUUCCAGUUGAAUUAACUCUUUCUCGGCAGCCUUCCUAAAUAUCUCACAACACGUCUACUAAUAUCCUAUUGAACUUAGUCAAAUGGCCACACCCAGUUGAAGGAGAGUCUAGCAGACGUAGCUUGUUUGUUAAGCUGGGGACGUUAUCACCAGAAAAAAACAAGCAAACAAAAAACAACAACAAAAGAAACUCUUGAGUUCAGUUGAGAAUGAACUUGGGUUAUCGACUGGCAGUGUCUGCUCCGAAUAUCAGGAAAUAACCCACUUUAGGGCAUGUUAGAGUUGGGGUCAGUCGAGAUUUGUGAGCCAACAACUCCAGUUUCUGGAGAACUCAACACACUCCUCUCCACUCGCACUCCCAAAUGAGUCGAUUGCUCCCUCUGCACUGUGGCUCCCCUCUGCUCGCACAUUCCCGGUCUCUGCUGGAGGUCACAACCUGAAAUGGGUCUUCAGGGCUGUGUUCCUUCUCCAGGUUCCAGGGGAGAAUCUGUUUUCUUGCCUUCUAGGGGCCACCUGCUUUGCUUGGCUCAUGGUCCCGCCCUCCAUCUUCAAAACCAGGAACAUAGCACCUUCCAGUCUCUCUCUCUCUCUCCCUCCCUCUCUAUCUCCUCUACUUCUGUCACGCCAUCUCCUUCUCUAACUCUCCUGCUUCCCUCUUAUAAGGACCCUUACAAUUACACUUAGGGACCACUUGAGUAAUCCAGGGUCAUCUCCCCAUCUCAAGAUCCUUAAUUUAAUUACAUCUGCAAAGUCCCUUUUGCCACAUAAGGUGACAUAUUCCCAGGUUCUGGGGAUCAGGACACGGACUUUUAAGGGGUUGCGUUAUUCAGCCAACCACACCCAUCUUAGGAUUCUGAACAAAAUAACAGGGAAGAGUAGAUUUUUCCAAAAGAUAUUUGCUGUUUGCGUGACUGUCAUCUGAGUGUUUCAGCUGAUGAAUCUGAAAGCAUGUUUGAACAGUAAAGCAUUAGGUUCUCCACCACUUGACAUGAUAAUAUGUGUGCACAGCCAUAGGAUGGUGUUUCAACAUGUUGAGUGUUCCAAGAAAUAACCACCGUUGCAGACUGACACCAAGAUUUGGAACGCCUUGUGAACAUACAUUUCAAAAAAGAAAGAAGUUAUUUACCCUUCAGAAGAGUACCAGUUGGACAAAUGAGUUGCAUUUCAUUUCAAAGAGAAAGCAAGUGGGUAAGAUUUAUUUUUAAGUAAAUAUGUGCUGAAUAUAGGAGAAGAAGUUGAGAAAGCUUGGAUAAAUGGACACUGUAAGGUUGACUCUUAAAAUGUGGCUAAAAUUCAAGGCAAUAGACACAGCAGUUGUCUAACUCAUAAUAUGGAUCAUUAUGUCGAUACAGAGAGAGUUUUACAAAUUCAGGUUUCCAGGUGUAUACCCAGAGAGCUCCCUCACCCCUUCCACCGUGUGAGGACACAGCGAGAAGACGGCCAUCUAUGAACCAGGAAGCGGGUUCUGGCCAGACACUGAAUCUGCCAGUACCUUGAUCUUGGACGUCCAGCCUCCGGAACUGUUGGAAAUAAAUGUGUGUUGUGUAAACCCUUAAGUCUGUGUUGUUCUGUUAUGGCAGCCCGAAUGGACUAAGAUGGGGUUCUUAUGGAGGCGUGGACAGGGCAAGAUGUGGGAUCCAAGGCACUUAGCCUGUGGGUCCGCAUGAAUUCUCCUUGAUGGCAUUAAGUAAAGAGGGAACUCUGGUGAACUUCAGAUG
ensembl:lncRNA